UACGUAGGGGGCAAGCGUUGUCCGGAAUUAUUGGGCGUAAAGCGCGCGCAGGCGGUUUCUUAAGUCUGAUGUGAAAGCCCACGGCUCAACCGUGGAGGGUCAUUGGAAACUGGGUAACUUGAGUGCAGAAGAGGAAAGUGGAAUUCCAAGUGUAGCGGUGAAAUGCGUAGAGAUUUGGAGGAACACCAGUGGCGAAGGCGACUUUCUGGUCUGUAACUGACACUGAGGCGCGAAAGCGUGGGGAGCGAACAGG
rnacentral:rRNA from 1 species